GGGCGGGCGGCGGGGCGGCGCGGCUCAGGCGCUUGCGGCGCCGUCGGAAGACGCCGUCGGCGAAGGUGUACUCGCUGCUGGGGUUGAGCAUCCAGUAGUUGUCCUUGCCCCAGGGCCGCGCCGGGUCGCGCAGCACCUUGACGAAGCAGUCGUUGAGCGAGAGGUUGUGGCGCACCGAGUUGCGCCAGCCCGUGUAGGCGCCGCGGAAGAAGGGGAAGCGGCUCAUCAGACCAGCCCAUUAUAACGCCGGCGAGAGGCGGAGCUAGGACAAAGAUCUGAAAGGGUGGUGGGUGGAGAAGCAAGGUAGCAAAGGUUCCUCCCCUUCCCGGGCAUUUCGAACGAAGCGGCCGCUCGGCGUGACUCCGCAUCGCCGGGCCCGCCUCCCAGGUGUAAAAUGCGGAGCGACUUAUAGGUGGCAGAGCAGAACCUGCUUUGCACUUGCCAGGGUCUUAGGCUCCUUCAGCAGUCAGAAGUUCGAUCCUCCUUGUCUGUUGGACAGAACAGCUCAAUGAAGAGAGCAAGACAGC
rnacentral:lncRNA from 1 species